UGGCGGCGUGCCUAAUACAUGCAAGUCGAGCGAAUGGAUUAAGAGCUUGCUCUUAUGAAGUUAGCGGCGGACGGGUGAGUAACACGUGGGUAACCUGCCCAUAAGACUGGGAUAACUCCGGGAAACCGGGGCUAAUACCGGAUAACAUUUUGAACUGCAUGGUUCGAAAUUGAAAGGCGGCUUCGGGUGUCGCUGAUGGAUGGACCCGCGGUGCAUUAGCUAGUUGGUGAGGUAACGGCUCACCAAGGCCACGAUGCAUAGCCGACCUGAGAGGGUGAUCGGCCACAUUGGGACUGAGACACGGCCCAAACUCCUACGGGAGGCAGCAGUAGGGAAUCUUCGGCAAUGGACGAAAGUCUGACCGAGCAACGCCGCGUGAGUGAAGAAGGUUUUCGGAUCGUAAAACUCUGUUGUUAGAGAAGAACAAGUGCUAGUUGAAUAAGCUGGCACCUUGACGGUACCUAACCAGAAAGCCACGGCUAACUACGUGCCAGCAGCCGCGGUAAUACGUAGGUGGCAAGCGUUGUCCGGAUUUAUUGGGCGUAAAGCGAGCGCAGGCGGUUUCUUAAGUCUGAUGUGAAAGCCCCCGGCUCAACCGGGGAGGGUCAUUGGAAACUGGGAGACUUGAGUGCAGAAGAGGAGAGUGGAAUUCCAUGUGUAGCGGUGAAAUGCGUAGAGAUAUGGAGGAACACCAGUGGCGAAGGCGACUUUCUGGUCUGUAACUGACGCUGAGGCUCGAAAGCGUGGGGAGCAAACAGGAUUAGAUACCCUGGUAGUCCACGCCGUAAACGAUGAGUGCUAAGUGUUGGAGGGUUUCCGCCCUUCAGUGCUGCAGCUAACGCAUUAAGCACUCCGCCUGGGGAGUACGACCGCAAGGUUGAAACUCAAAGGAAUUGACGGGGGCCCGCACAAGCGGUGGAGCAUGUGGUUUAAUUCGAAGCAACGCGAAGAACCUUACCAGGUCUUGACAUCCUUUGACCACUCUAGAGAUAGAGCUUCCCCUUCGGGGGCAAAGUGACAGGUGGUGCAUGGUUGUCGUCAGCUCGUGUCGUGAGAUGUUGGGUUAAGUCCCGCAACGAGCGCAACCCUUGAUCUUAGUUGCCAUCAUUAAGUUGGGCACUCUAAGGUGACUGCCGGUGACAAACCGGAGGAAGGUGGGGAUGACGUCAAAUCAUCAUGCCCCUUAUGACCUGGGCUACACACGUGCUACAAUGGACGGUACAAAGAGCUGCAAGACCGCGAGGUGGAGCUAAUCUCAUAAAACCGUUCUCAGUUCGGAUUGUAGGCUGCAACUCGCCUACAUGAAGCUGGAAUCGCUAGUAAUCGCGGAUCAGCACGCCGCGGUGAAUACGUUCCCGGGCCUUGUACACACCGCCCGUCACACCACGAGAGUUUGUAACACCCGAAGUCGGUGAGGUAACCUUUUUGGAGCCAGCCGCCUAAGG
rnacentral:rRNA from 1 species